AGGAGUCAUGGCUGUCUCUGUGUGUUCAUU
rnacentral:piRNA from 1 species